CGUUCUCUCUUUCUUGAUGAAAUCGAAUGCAUGACUUUCCUGUUUCGAAUAAUUACUAUCGAUAUUUUGGAGAAGAGAAAAAUUCAUACUCGAUGAUUAACAAGCGUAGAGUUGUAUCGGUUGAUGGAACGUAAAGAGUCUUCAUUGUUUCGAAUAAUUAUGGCCAAUGUUCUCACGUCUCGAUCGAUGUAAAAAGUUCGUCACGCUCGACUUUCUUUUCACGCUUCUUCCUCGCUUUAAAUAACAAUAUCGAGGGUAAAGAAAACUAGAGGACGCUUCUUAGAGGGUAAUUCCUUACGGUAGUACGUAUAAAGAAGCAAGAUAGAUUUUUUUUUGAAAAAUUACUCUCUAUAAGCGUCACUCUUUCUCGUUUAACGCUUUUAUCGAGUGUUCCAUGAGUUUGAUAAUUAGUUAUAACAUAGUUCGACACUCGGUGUUGCUCAGUGCUCGUUCACCUUUCGGUCCUCUCUCUCUCUCUCUCUUUCUCUCUCUCUCUCUCUCUCUCUCUCUCUCUCUCUCUCUCUCUCUCUCUCUCUCUCUCUCUCCAUCUCAUACUCUUCCAUUUUGUGGAUGAGUUCACGUCGGCCAACAGCCUUCCACUUUCGUACUUUGGUAACCCGAGCGUUAAACCAUCGACAGAGCGGACGUCCGACUUACUAUAGGAGACGUUUAUAAUAAGCUGACGUGGCUUAUUAUGCUCUCGUUUAUUGUAUUAGAAAUCGGAAGACGUGAGCUAACGAAAAUUAACGUAAUUUUCAGAUUAUCCGUUAUAAAUCUUGAUAUCCUCGUACGUAUAAGUUUAAUUAAAAUAUAAAUAAAUAUUUCUGUUACGUAUAUAUAUAUAUAUUUUUUUUUUAGAUAUCAAGAGUUUAACAUAAAAAUGCUCUAAAUAAUUUGAUUCUGAAUUUAGUUAAAGAGUGUAUAUACAGAAAUGCAUAUACGAGAGAAUCGGUAGAAUCUAAACUAGUGCUCGACGUGAUUGGAAUGACAACAUUCACCUUUCUCUUAUGUAUCUUCGCGUCGAAGGUCGAAGGGGAAAGCAUUACUUUCCGGUCGAAAGGGAAAGCAAUUUGGUCGCGCUCGGCUAGUCUACCAUUAAGACGAACAAUCUUCCCUAUGACAAGUUGGUUAAUCGACGUUCUCUCGAGGGACUUGCAAAAGGGACGCGCCUAACAACGAGAGACACCGCGCCGGCAAGCGGAAAUGAAUGCAGUUGACAGAACGAGGCACUCCUGGAACCAUCACUGCAAAGCUCUUUAGAUCUCUGUACUCGCAUCGAUGAGUACCCACGAAUAUACUCGCAGAUUACAAGUCGAAGAAUCGUCGAGAGCAGUUAAUGGCCGGCAUCGUCCAUGGUACGAAGAAGGGAGAAAGAGAAAAGAAGAAAGGGCUCGCGCAAGUAUGCUCGGUUUUAACGAUCAAAGGGAACGUGGGUGUAUAUUAGCCGCUGCCGGCAGAAGAAAAAAUAAAGGGACAGGCAAAUAACGGCUGGCACAAAAAGAGCAAAGACCGAAGAGGAGCGAUCCUGCACGGAAUGAUCUCGAGGAACCCCCAAAGGGAGAACUCGAACCACCCAUGGUGUCCGUUAUUGGAGGACAUUAAGUCAUUAUUGAUUACCUCUUCUUACUAGGCUUCUACUGCGUUCGAGCAUGCUUCGCAUAUGCGAGGGGCAGGUAAAGAAAAGAAGAGAAAGAGGACCAAAUAGCGAGAGAGAGAGAGAGAGAGAGAGAGAGAGAGAGAGAAAGAGAGUACCUCUUGCAAAGGUUCAUCGACUUGUUUGAAGGAUAUUGCAAUAAUUUGUUAUUUUUCACUCGCAACGAUCCCCAUUUGCCGUAAGUCUCUCUCUCUCUCUCUCUCUCUCACACACUUUCUCUUUUAGUUGGCUUUAAAAAAUUGCUCAAGUUAAGAAUGCUUUACGAGCUACACCCACAUAACGUUGUUCCGACAGAACAACGGAUUCGCGACUGAUUCUUCUGAGAGCAAAAGAAUCAUGAUACGAUCAAUAAUAUCUUCUGCAUUUGUACGAUCUUUCAUCUGGAAUAUCAGGGUAAUUGAAUAUCAAUUGUAUAUUUCUAUAUUUCUCUAGAAAUUAUUCGUAUCAGGGUAUAAUAAUAAUUAAAUUCUUUCUUUAUCGUACUUUACACGCAUACGGUAAAUAAAUCUUUACCAAUGUCAAUGUUUUAUUAAUCGAAUUUUAACGUAAAUAUCCGUGUUUAGUAUCGUAAAUGCGAUUCGUGUUAUAAAAUUCGUGUCGAUUGUAGUAAUUUUUACAAGAUAACGUAUUCGCGUCUUCCUGUUCGGCUCCCUUUGCUGUGGAAAGCUUAGCAUGGGGCGCAACUCGUUAACGAUGACCGAUCUUUAUCGUUUCCACGUUAAAGCUAAUUACCGAAAGUGAGCGUUCGUCGUUGUCGUUGUCGUUGUCGUUAUCGUUGUAUUCGUCAUCAUCGUCGUCGUCGUCGUCGUCGUCGUCGUCGUCGUCGUCGUCGUCGUCGUCGUCGUCGUCGUCGUCGUUAUUGUCGUCGUCGUCAUCGUCGUUGGUUGACACGCAAAGCGCGAGAAGUAAAGCCUUCGACGCGUUCGCGUU